rnacentral:piRNA from 1 species
CAUGAGGUUUGACCAAGAUCAGUGGGU